GAUGAACGCUGGCGGCGUGCCUAAUACAUGCAAGUCGAGCGAACGGACGAGAAGCUUGCUUCUCUGAUGUUAGCGGCGGACGGGUGAGUAACACGUGGAUAACCUACCUAUAAGACUGGGAUAACUUCGGGAAACCGGAGCUAAUACCGGAUAAUAUUUUGAACCGCAUGGUUCAAAAGUGAAAGACGGUCUUGCUGUCUCUUAUAGAUGGAUCUGCGCUGCAUUAGCUAGUUGGUAAGGUAACGGCUUACCAAGGCAACGAUGCAUAGCCGACCUGAGAGGGUGAUCGGCCACACUGGAACUGAGACACGGUCCAGACUCCUACGGGAGGCAGCAGUAGGGAAUCUUCCGCAAUGGGCGAAAGCCUGACGGAGCAACGCCGCGUGAGUGAUGAAGGUCUUCGGAUCGUAAAACUCUGUUAUUAGGGAAGAACAUAUGUGUAAGUAACUGUGCACAUCUUGACGGUACCUAAUCAGAAAGCCACGGCUAACUACGUG
rnacentral:rRNA from 1 species